AAUGUCCUAAUGACACAAUAAACUCAUCACUCAGGACAUUCAGACUGCAGAUUAACUUUAUACCCCACCACUCACUCUAAUGAAGACACAAAGAGAACAUUUACUCACAGAGCAUCACAGGGAGUGGACUGAGCUCCAUCCUGUAACUCUAAUGACUGACUAACUGACAGAGCAGUGGUGUGUAUUAAAGUCUUACCACAUCCUGUGACAGAGAGAGAGAGAGAGUGUAUGUACGUCAGUUUUAUAUUUUAGUUGACACAGACAUGGUAGCUCCUGUCCCUUUAUUUUUGACAUUAAGCCUGUUUUAAGACUCGCACUGUAAAAUCUAUAAUGUUUCAUUUUUCUGGAAUUAAAAUAAUUUGUACUCAAGAAUAACACACUGAAUAACAGUGCUGUAAAUAGGCAAAAUAUUAAGUGCUCAUCAUAUUCACACUGUCCACUUUAUUAGGAACACCUCUGCACCUGCUCAUUCAUGCAGUUAUCCAAUCAGCCAAUCAUGUGGCAGCAGCACAAUGCAUUAACUCAUGCAGUAACUUGUACUUCCGAAUGUCCUUGCAUUUUCACACACAACAGUGUGUAUAGAUUACACAAAGAAAAAGACAAAAAGAAACACCUUGUUGGUGAGAGAGGUCAGAGGAGAAUGACCAGACUGGAUCACACUGACAGGAAGGCUACAGUAACUCAGUGUGUGGUGGCCAGUGAUUGAAAAGUGAAAAUAAAUUGCCUUUGACUCCCUCUAUUGGUAACUGUAGUAUGAUUUUAAUCCUGACUUCCUUCAGACUGUGAUGUGUUUAACCAUUUUGUGUCGAAUUUUGUGACAAUAAAUGAACUCAAUCUAUUGUAGAAUAAGUCUGUAACGUAAUAAAACAUGGAGAAGGUGAAAGGGGUGUACAGACUUUCUGGCUUGACUGUAUUUGUCAUGUCACACUCCACAGUAGUGGUUCUGAGUGGACAUUGAGCUUUAAGAAUCUACAGUGUAUCAUAAGAUUAAAUUUUUCAUUCAUUCAUUCAUUCAUUCAUUUUUUAACCUCGCUUAGUUAAUUUAAUUUAAUUUUUUUUAAGUAAAUGGUGAUUGUCACAUUUCAGCUCUUUGGGAUGCCCAAAGUACUUGUCUAUAAGAAUCUCAAAUUUGAUGGAGUUAUGUUCAACUCAAAUUCUGUGUAAGUUUCUCCAAACACAGGCAAAAACAUCUCCAAAUGGCACCAAAUCUUUUCACCUGAAGGCAGGACCAUGAAGGAGAAAGUGAGCAUGCCUGUGGUGAUGGUGGCAAGGAAAAACUCCCUCAGACGACAUGAGGAAGAAACCUCGAGAGGAACCAGACUCAAAAGGGAACCCAUCGUUAUUUGGGCAACAACAGACAACAUGACUAACAUAAGUCAGCUUCGUUGAUGCUAUAAACCCCCCACCGACGGAAACCCGAGCGCAAAACCAUUCACAACAACCGCAGUCCCUAACCACAAAAGCACCACUGCAAGAGUCCAGAGUGUCCUCCAGGUGCGACCCCCAACUGUCCACAUGGGGCCGCCCUCCACAGGAGCGAUACGAUGAGACUCCAACCAGACACAGGGCACCAGGAUGGAUCAGGCAGAUCUAAUCAGUGGAUUUAACACAACUAAAAUGACCUUGUGUGAUGAGUAGUGAAAAAUAAUAUAGUCUUUCUAUUAAAUGCUAAUACUCAUUUUAUUUACACUAUUAUUUCCAGGUUGGUACAAUAACUUUUCACAUGUCGUCAUCUCCAGUAAGAAACAAACAGUAGUUUUCCUGAUGUCACAUUGAACAUUGUUUAGGUAAUGAAAUGCAUGAUUGACAGUGAAUCUGAACUGGAUUUUAAUAGCAUAUUCCAGAUUAAGGUAAGCAGUUAAUAGCUCACUACAUUUUCCACCUUCUGCUAACUAGUGGUGGCACGGUGGUGUAGUGGUUAGCGCUGUCGCCUCACAGCAAGAAGGUCCGGGUUCGAGCCCCGUGGCCAGCGAGGGCCUUUCUGUGCGGAGUUUGCAUGUUCUCCCCCUGUCCACGUGGGUUUCCUCCGGGUGCUCCGGUUUCCCCCACAGUCCAAAGACAUGCAGGUUAGGUUAACUGGUGACUUUAAAUUGACCGUACCGGUACGUGUGAAUGUGAGUGUGAAUGGUUGUAUGUGUCUAUGUGUCAGCCCUGUGAUGACCUGGCGACUUGUCCAGGGUGUACCCUGCCUUUCGCCCAUAGCCAGCUGGGAUAGGCUCCAGCUUGCCUGCGACCCUGUAGAACAGGAUAAAGCGGCUAGAGAUAAUGAGAUGAGAGAUGCUAACUAGUGUGUUUAAGUUGCAUUUGCUAAUCAGCACAAUACUGAUAAACUAGUUAGCUAGUGAUGGUGAUAAUCAGGGCAUGUUCAGGGCUCCAUGAACAUGGUCAUUUUAUAAUAUUUUAAAGUAUAUCUAAAUUAUCCCACUUAUUUCAAGGAGAUACAGCUAUGUAGGUCAGAUCUGUAACAGGAGCAGAUUCCAUUCUCGGGUAACAGAACCUGUUUGUAGUUGCACAUGAGCACAUUCAGUUAUUAGUGAAGAUUAGCACUGCUCUUACACUACUGUCCUGUGUACAGUUUUAUAAACAGCCACGUACUCAGAUGAAAGCACACAGAGAAAUUUUACUCACAGAGCAUCACAGAGCUAAUAACAAUGACUCAGUCAGUGUCCAAAUAUUGAUGUACUUGGCCUUGUUUUAAAUUGCACCUAAAUAAAUAAUGUAUGGUAAAUUGUCA